GUGCUCACUUUGGCAGCAUGUAUAUUAAAAUUGGAACAAUACAGAGAAAAUUAGCCUGGUCCAUGUGAGAUUGACAUGCAAAUUCAUGAAGCAUUCCAUAUUUUU